rnacentral:rRNA from 1 species
UACCGGCGGCUCGAGUGGUGGCCGCUAUUACUGGGUUUAAAGGGUCCGUAGCUUGAUAGACGGGUCCCUUGAGAAAUCCGGACGCUUAACGUCCGGGCGUUCAGGGGAAACUGUUUUUCUAGGGACCGGGAGAGGUGAGAGGUACUGCCGGGGUAGGAGUGAAAUCCUGUAAUCCCGGUGGGACGACCGAUGGCGAAGGCAUCUCACCAGAACGGCUCCGACAGUGAGGGACGAAAGCUGGGGGAGCAAA